AAAAGUCAAUAAGAACACUGAGUUCUGUGAGAUCGGUCUCUGAGAAUCCCAUUGUACAGAGCCAUCCGGUUCGCUGGCAUCGUGGAUAUUCCACAAACCGAACCGGUUUUCCCCGGUUGAGUCACUGACUCAUGUACUAUUCUCCGACUCAACUCCCUCCUCUUCCGAACCAAAGAAAACCUUAUUUUCUUCAAAUGAAACUUCCGAGCCAUUGAAAAAAAGAACGUACCUGAAGAAGAUAGACAAGAACGGAGGAGUGGUGAUGGUGGAGUCUGAUCACGAACCUGCGAGGUUUGAUUCCCAUAGAACUGACGAGCCGUCGCGAGAAACAGAGCAGUGCUUGAGAAAACCAUGGCCGUUGCGAUCGCGACGGUGCCAUUAGAACAACCCAACAUAAGAGACAUGUGCAUGACGUUUCUUUAACCAACGGACUUGAAGAUACCCAGAGAAAAUAGAAUGUGAACUGAGCUGAUCGAUGAUUGGUUGUUGAGACUUGGGAGAGACGUGUGUCUGUGUUUCUUGCAGAGACUUGUAACUUAACAACUGUUGAAAUUAUUAUAUGGUAGGAUUCUCCUCGUGGCUCUCUUCUAUACUUAUACAAAUAUGGUUAUAUGAGAAAAUAAAUACUAUAAAGUUGGAAAACAGGACUACGAGUUGGAUUUUAUAUCCAAGUGGGGAAAGAAAAAUAAUAGUAAAUUUUUUUUUAGUAUAAUAUAAAAUUGGCAUUGGUCUAUAGACAAACUAUAUUCUAGAGACUGCCAUGUAUGUGUAGCUUUUAAUUUAUGUUUAUUAAUAACUGUUGUCAGUUGUAUGGUUUUGGAUAAAAACUUGUGUAUACAAAAAGUCGAACAAAAUCACAUGUACAUGUAGAAUCCAACUCACAGUCUUUGUGUGUCCAUUAUUAUCCAAUAAAUUAAUAUAAAAACUAAUUGGAUGGAUAUUUUUUUGAAAAACACAAGUGUAGCAACGGGAAUUGGUGUAACCUUUGUCGACUUAAUAAUUGUGAGGUUCUAUUAGCUUGGAUGAUGUCAACCACUUGACCUAUUUUGAACAGACGUAUGACAUAUCUAUCAGACAAUAUCGAAUGAAUCUUAGCACUUAGUUCGUGUCCUGUCGACUUCAAAAACCCAAUAUCUUUGCUAGCGACUCUAACAUUAAACCAAUAAGGUUCCAACGGGGAAAAGUGCCAAUUUCGACCUCAACAAUUUCAGUCGUGCCAAAUACGACCCGAACAAUUGAUCAGUGCCAAAUACGACCUCAACUCAAUUAUAAUUCAGAAAAACUGCCUGAACUUCUUAAAACAUGCCUAAAUAUACAUUGACUCUAACAGAAGUUAGUCAACCGUUAAUAAGAUAAAACGACAUCGUUUUGAUAUAUGAGAAAAAGUGUCAAUUUCGAUCCCAACACUCUCAGUCGUGCCAAAUAAGACCCAAACAAAUGGUCAAUGCCAAAAACGACCUCAACUCAAUUAUAGUUUAAGAAAAAAUACCCAAACUUUUUAAAACGUGCUUAAAUCUACAUUGACUCUAACAGAAGUUAGUCAACCGUUAACAAGAUAAGACGACGUCUUUUGAUAUAUAUAUAUAUAUAUUUUUUUUGUUUUAAAAUAUGUUCAUUUCGGGACUCAAACUCGUGCCGGGAUAUCCUUUUAAAAGGGCACACUAACAGCUAAACUAAAGUAAUUUUUUGAAAUAUUAUUACAAAUUAAAAUUCCCCAUUAUAUAAGCUACUAUUCUUCUUCAUCUAAUCCAAUUUAAAAUUUUGGUGAUUACUUUAUAUAUUCUAGUUAUUGUUUAAUAUGUGUAAUAUUUUGUACAACAUAUCUUAGUGAAAGAAAGGUAAAAGGCCUCUUAACAUUUUUGAACAAAAAAACAAAAUAUGUAAUAAUGACUUUGAAAAAUAAAAAAAAUUC